GGGAGAAUGAUGAGCUGUUCACCGGGGUGAAAUACUCAGCAAGUGUGGCUUGGGGGACAAUUCUGGAGAAAAUAGGCCUGCAGGGGAAGGUGUCUCCCCCGCAGGCAAAGAAAAACUUUUGCUGAAAUUUGUUUUGAUACUGCUCUUGUUGUUAACUGCCAUGAUUGAUUUCCUCUGCCUUAGGAUUGCAAGUAUCCAGGGUCAGGAGAGGGGGUAGGUGGGAAACCCACUGCUGCCACUUGGCCCUGGUUUGUCCCCUUGGAUAAGGUAUUGUGACAUAUGCAUUCCACCAACCCCCCUGUCCUAAUUGCCUCCAUCCCUGAGAACACACCAGGGCCAA